GACGAACGCUGGCGGCGUGCUUAACACAUGCCAGUCGAACGGAAAGGCCCUGCUUUUGUGGGGUGCUCGAGUGGCGAACGGGUGAGUAACACGUGAGUAACCUGCCCUUGACUUUGGGAUAACUUCAGGAAACUGGGGCUAAUACCGGAUAGGAGCUCCUGCUGCAUGGUGGGGGUUGGAAAGGUUCGGCGGUUGGGGAUGGACUCGCGGCUUAUCAGCUUGUUGGUGGGGUAGUGGCUUACCAAGGCUUUGACGGGUAGCCGGCCUGAGAGGGUGACCGGCCACAUUGGGACUGAGAUACGGCCCAGACUCGUACGGGAGGCAGCAGUGGGGAAUAUUGCACAAUGGGCGGAAGCCUGAUGCAGCAACGCCGCGUGCGGGAUGACGGCCUUCGGGUUGUAAACCGCUUUCGCCUGUGACGAAGCGUGAGUGACGGUAAUGGGUAAAGAAGCACCGGCUAACUACGUG
rnacentral:rRNA from 1 species